AGAGUUUGAUCCUGGCUCAGAUUGAACGCUGGCGGCAUGCUUUACACAUGCAAGUCGAACGGCAGCGGGGGCUUCGGCCUGCCGGCGAGUGGCGAACGGGUGAGUAAUGCAUCGGAACGUGCCCAGUCAUGGGGGAUAACUACGCGAAAGCGUAGCUAAUACCGCAUACGCCCUGAGGGGGAAAGCGGGGGAUCGCAAGACCUCACGUGAUUGGAGCGGCCGAUGUCGGAUUAGCUAGUUGGUGGGGUAAAGGCCUACCAAGGCGACGAUCCGUAGCGGGUCUGAGAGGAUGAUCCGCCACACUGGGACUGAGACACGGCCCAGACUCCUACGGGAGGCAGCAGUGGGGAAUUUUGGACAAUGGGGGCAACCCUGAUCCAGCCAUGCCGCGUGAGUGAAGAAGGCCUUCGGGUUGUAAAGCUCUUUCAGACGGAAAGAAAUCGGGCGGGUGAAU
rnacentral:rRNA from 1 species